rnacentral:rRNA from 1 species
AUGAAUCCGCUAAUUGAUGCUGCUUCUGUUAUUGCUGCUGGAUUGGCCAUAGGGCUUCCUUCUAUUGGACCUGGAGUUGGUCAAGGUACUAUUGUAGGACAAGCUGUAGAAGGUAUUGCGAGACAACGAGAAGCAGAAGGUAAAAUACGAGGUACUUUAUUUCUUAGUCUAGCUUUUAUGGAAGCUUUAACAAUUUAUGGACUAGUUGUGGCACUAGCGCUUUUAUUUGCGAACCCUUUUGUUUAA